GAUGAAGAACCAGCGAAACGCGAUAUUUCUUGUGAAUUGCAGAAGUGAAUCAUCAGUUUUUGAACGCACAUUGCACUUUGGGGUAUCCCCCAAAGUAUACUUGUUUGAGCGUUGUUUCUCUCUUGGAAUUGCUUUGCUCUUCUAAAAUUUCGAAUCAAAUUCGUUUGAAAAACAACACUAUUCAACCUCAGAUCAAGUAGGAUUACCCGCUGAACUUAAGCAUAUCAAUAAGCGGAGGA
rnacentral:misc_RNA from 1 species